GGUUUAGAAAUAGACUUUUCUUCGGACAUUUUUCAAGGUGCUGCAUGGUUGUCGUCAGCUCGUGCCGUGAGGUGUUAGGUUAAGUCCUGCAACGAGCGCAACCCCUGUCACUAGUUGCCAUCAUUAAGUUGGGGACUCUAGUGAGACUGCCUACGCAAGUAGAGAGGAAGGUGGGGAUGACGUCAAAUCAUCACGGCCCUUACGCCUUGGGCCACACACGUAAUACAAUGGCCGGUACAGAGGGCAGCUACACAGCGAUGUGAUGCAAAUCUCGAAAGCCGGUCUCAGUUCGGAUUGGAGUCUGCAACUCGACUCUAUGAAGCUGGAAUCGCUAGUAAUCGCGCAUCAGCCAUGGCGCGGUGAAUACGUUCCCGGG
rnacentral:rRNA from 1 species